GACGAACGCUGGCGGCGUGCUUAACACAUGCAAGUCGAACGGUAAGGCCCUGUUUUUGUGGGACGCUCGGCUAGCGAACGGGUAACACAUGGGUGAGUUGCCUGCCCCUGUGUUUUGGACCUCUUCAGCUGAGUGGAGUACCUAAUGGAUCUGCGCUAUGCCUGCAUGGUGGGGGUUGGCUAUUUUGGGCGGUUGGGGAUGGACUCGCGGCCUAUCAGCUUGUUGGUGGGGUGAUGGCCUACCAAGGCAUUGACGGGUAGCCGGCCUGAGAGGGUGACCGGCCACACUGGGACUGAGAUACGGCCCAGACUCCUACGGGAGGCAGCAGUGGGGAAUAUUGCACAAUGGGCGCAAGCCUGAUGCAGCGACGCCGCGUGGGGGAUGACGGCCUUCGGGUUGUAAACCCCUUUCAGCAGAGACGAAGCGUAAGUGACGGUAAGUGGAGAAGAAGCACCGGCUAACUACGUG
rnacentral:rRNA from 1 species